rnacentral:rRNA from 1 species
GACGAAGGGGGCUAGCGUUGUUCGGAAUUACUGGGCGUAAAGCGCGUGUAGGCGGUUGCCCUAGUCAGGUGUGAAAGCCUUGAGCUUAACUCAAGAAAUGCACUUGAUACUGGGCGACUAGAGGACCGGAGAGGAUAGUGGAAUUCCCAGUGUAGUGGUGAAAUACGUAGAGAUUGGGAAGAACACCAGUGGCGAAGGCGGCUAUCUGGACGGUUUCUGACGCUAAGACGCGAAAGCGUGGGGAGCAAACAGG